AGUCGACCUAGCGACUAUAAAUAGGCUUUAGGCUAGGAGCGUGACCACUUCGGUGGUC
rnacentral:ribozyme from 1 species